GAUGAACGCUGGCGGCGUGCCUAAUACAUGCAAGUCGAGCGAACAGACGAGGAGCUUGCUCCUCUGACGUUAGCGGCGGACGGGUGAGUAACACGUGGAUAACCUACCUAUAAGACUGGGAUAACUUCGGGAAACCGGAGCUAAUACCGGAUAAUAUCUUGAACCGCAUGGUUCAAUAGUGAAAGACGGUUUUGCUGUCACUUCUAGAUGGAUCCGCGCUGCAUUAGCUAGUUGGUAAGGUAACGGCUUACCAAGGCAACGAUGCGUAGCCGACCUGAGAGGGUGAUCGGCCACACUGGAACUGAGACACGGUCCAGACUCCUACGGGAGGCAGCAGUAGGGAAUCUGCCGCAAUGGGCGAAAGCCUGACGGAGCAACGCCGCGUGAGUGAUGAAGGUCUUCGGAGCGUAAAACUCUGUUAUUAGGGAAGAACAAAUGUGUAAGUAACUGUGCACGUCUUGACGGUACCUAAUCAGAAAGCCACGGCUAACUACGUG
rnacentral:rRNA from 1 species